GAAUAUAGAUCUACUUCCCGUCAUUAUUGGAACUGUAAUAGGACUGAUUGUUUUUGUUCUGGCGUGCCUUUGCUUAAUAAAAAGUCUAUGUAAGAUAGCAAAGACGCAAUUUACAUACGAAUCGGGCCGAAGGACAAUUUUGGAAGGAAAGUGUAAUGAAAAUAGAGAUUCAGAUCACGUGUACAGUACUCAUAGCAUAUACAAUGCAACCUACGACUAUUCAGGAACUACAAACGCACGCAAGUCUUCCCAUUUCUAUGAUGACAUUGAUAGCUUAAACAAAGACGUUUAAAGAUUUAGAUAAUUAUAUCAGAAACAUCGAUUUAUUGUAGAUCUUAUUCCUUUUUCAGUCUAAAACCUUUACGGGUGCCAGAUGUGGAGCAGAAUCUGCUUACCCUUCUGGAGCACCCGAGAUCACAAUAAGUUUUUGUAGGAUAUGUUGCUCAUUUUUUAGUUUAAAAAAAAAGUCUCGUAUUCUAGUUUUCCAGAAGGCAAAACUAGCUAAAUAGUACUUGUUUUACACAUAAGGGGAUAUGUACAUUAAUAUAUCUGAAUAUGUAUGUCAUUUUGUAAAAAAAAUAAAAGAGUUUACAAAUAA